GAUGAACGCUGGCGGCGUGCCUAAUACAUGCAAGUCGAGCGAACGGACGAGAAGCUUGCUUUUCUGAUGUUAGCGGCGGACGGGUGAGUAACACGUGGAUAACCUACCUAUAAGACUGGGAUAACUUCGGGAAACCGGAGCUAAUACCGGAUAAUAUUUUGAACCGCAUGGUUCAAAAGUGAAAGACGGUCCUGCUGUCACUUAUAGAUGGAUCCGCGCUGCAUUAGCUAGUUGGUAAGGUAACGGCUUACCAAGGCAACGAUGCAUAGCCGACCUGAGAGGGUGAUCGGCCACACUGGAACUGAGACACGGUCCAGACUCCUACGGGAGGCAGCAGUAGGGAAUCUUCCGCAAUGGGCGAAAGCCUGACGGAGCAACGCCGCGUGAGUGAUGAAGGUCUUCGGAUCGUAAAACUCUGUUAUUAGGGAAGAACAUAUGUGUAAGUAACUGUGCACAUCUUGACGGUACCUAAUCAGAAAGCCACUGCUAACUACGUG
rnacentral:rRNA from 1 species